GGGUAGUUUGACUGGGGCGGUCUCCUCCUAAAGAGUAACGGAGGAGCACGAAGGUUGGCUAAUCCUGGUCGGACAUCAGGAGGUUAGUGCAAUGGCAUAAGCCAGCUUGACUGCGAGCGUGACGGCGCGAGCAGGUGCGAAAGCAGGUCAUAGUGAUCCGGUGGUUCUGAAUGGAAGGGCCAUCGCUCAACGGAUAAAAGGUACUCCGGGGAUAACAGGCUGAUACCGCCCAAGAGUUCAUAUCGACGGCGGUGUUUGGCACCUCGAUGUCGGCUCAUCACAUCCUGGGGCUGAAGUAGGUCCCAAGGGUAUGGCUGUUCGCCAUUUAAAGUGGUACGCGAGCUGGGUUUAGAACGUCGUGAGACAGUUCGGUCCCUAUCUGCCGUGGGCGCUGGAGAACUGAGGGGGGCUGCUCCUAGUACGAGAGGACCGGAGUGGACGCAUCACUGGUGUUCGGGUUGUCAUGCCAAUGGCACUGCCCGGUAGCUAAAUGCGGAAGAGAUAAGUGCUGAAAGCAUCUAAGCACGAAACUUGCCCCGAGAUGAGUUCUCCCUGACUCCUUGAGAGUCCUGAAGGAACGUUGAAGACGACGACGUUGAUAGGCCGGGUGUGUAAGCGCAGCGAUGCGUUGAGCUAACCGGUACUAAUGAACCGUGAGGCUUAACCUUACAACGCCGAAGCUGUU
rnacentral:rRNA from 1 species